rnacentral:rRNA from 1 species
AACGAACGCUGGCGGCAUGCCUAACACAUGCAAGUCGAACGAGACCUUCGGGUCUAGUGGCGCACGGGUGCGUAACGCGUGGGAAUCUGCCCUUGGGUUCGGAAUAACAGUUGGAAACGACUGCUAAUACCGGAUGAUGACGUACGUCCAAAGAUUUAUCGCCCAAGGAUGAGCCCGCGUAGGAUUAGCUAGUUGGUGAGGUAAAGGCUCACCAAGGCGACGAUCCUUAGCUGGUCUGAGAGGAUGAUCAGCCACACUGGGACUGAGACACGGCCCAGACUCCUACGGGAGGCAGCAGUGGGGAAUAUUGGACAAUGGGCGAAAGCCUGAUCCAGCAAUGCCGCGUGAGUGAUGAAGGCCUUAGGGUUGUAAAGCUCUUUUACCCGGGAUGAUAAUGACAGUACCGGGAGAAUAAGCUCCGGCUAACUCCGUG